GAUGAACGCUGGCGGCGUGCUUAAUACAUGCAAGUCGAACGAAGCACCUUGGACAGAAUCCUUCGGGAGGAAGACCAUUGUGACUGAGUGGCGGACGGGUGAGUAACGCGUGGGUAACCUGCCUUGUACAGGGGGAUAACAGUUGGAAACGACUGCUAAUACCGCAUAAGCGCACAGUGCCGCAUGGUACGGUGUGAAAAACUCCGGUGGUACAAGAUGGACCCGCGUCUGAUUAGCUGGUUGGUGAGGUAACGGCCCACCAAGGCGACGAUCAGUAGCCGACUUGAGAGAGUGAUCGGCCACAUUGGGACUGAGACACGGCCCAAACUCCUACGGGAGGCAGCAGUAGGGAAUAUUGCACAAUGGGGGAAACCCUGAUGCAGCGACGCCGCGUGAAGGAAGAAGUAUUUCGGUAUGUAAACUUCUAUCAGCAAGGAAGAAAAUGACGGUACUUGACUAAGAAGCCCC
rnacentral:rRNA from 1 species